GAUGAACGCUAGCUACAGGCUUAACACAUGCAAGUCGAGGGGAAACGGCAUUAAGUGCUUGCACUUUUUGGACGUCGACCGGCGCACGGGUGAGUAACGCGUAUCCAACCUUCCCAUGACUAAGGGAUAACCUGCCGAAAGGCAGACUAAUACCUUAUGUUCUUCACUGACGGCAUCAGAUGUGAAGUAAAGAUUUAUCGGUUAUGGAUGGGGAUGCGUCUGAUUAGCUUGUUGGCGGGGUAACGGCACACCAAGGCAACGAUCAGUAGGGGUUCUGAGAGGAAGGUACACCACAUUGGAACUGAGACACGGACCAAACUCCUACGGGAGGCAGCAGUGAGGAAUAUUGGUCAAUGGGAGAGAGCCUGAACCAGCCAAGUAGCGUGCAGGAUGACGGCCCUAUGGGUUGUAAACUGCUUUUGUAUGGGGAUAAAGUAAAUAACGUGUGAUUGUUUGAAGGUACCAUACGAAUAAGGACCGGCUAAUUCCGUG
rnacentral:rRNA from 1 species